GACGAACGCUGGCGGCGUGCUUAACACAUGCAAGUCGAACGGAGUGGCGAACGGGUGAGUAACACGUGGGUGAUCUGCCUUGCACUUCGGGAUAAGCUUGGGAAACUGGGUCUAAUACCGGAUAGUGCAAGAUGAGCUCGCGGCCUAUCAGCUUGUUGGUGGGGUAAUGGCCGACCAAGGCGUCGACGGGUAGCCGGCCUGAGAGGGUGUACGGCGACAUUGGGACUGAGGUACGGCCCAGACGCGUACGGGAGGCAGUAGGGGGGAAUAUUGCACAACGGGGGGAAGCCUGAUGCAGCGACGCCGGGUGGGGGAUGAACGCCCUCGGGUUGUAAACUCCUUGCGACAGGGACGCGUUACCUGCAUAAGAAGCACCGGCUAACUACGUGCCAGCAGCCGCGGUAAUUC
rnacentral:rRNA from 1 species